CUCUGCCAUCUCUCUCUCUCUGCCAUCUCCUCUCUCUGCCAUCUGUUCUCUGCAUCUCUCUGCCAUCUCUUCUCUCUGCCUAUCUUCUCCUCUUGCCUCUUUCUCUCGCCAUCUCUUUGCUCUCCUGCCAUCUCUCUCUCUCUGCCAUCUCUCUCCUCUGCCAUCCUCUCCUCUCCUCUCUCUCUCUGACAUCUCACUCUCUCUGAUCAACUCUUCUUCUCUCUGCACAUCUCCUCUCUCUGCAUCUCUCUCUCUCUGCAUCUCUCUCUCUCUGCCAUCUCUCUCUCUCUGCCAUCUCUUUCUCUCUCCAUCUCACUCUCUUGCCAUCUGUCUCUCUCGCCAUCUCACUCUCUCUGCCAUCUCUUUUCUCUAUGCCAUCUCUUUUCUCUCUGCCAUCUCUCUCUCUCUCUGCCAUCUGUCUCUCUCGGCCAUCUCCACCUCUCUCUGCCAUCUCUUUCUCUCUUGCCAUCUCUCUCUCUGCUGCAUUCUCCUUCUCUGCCAUCUGCUCUCUCUCAUCUCUCUCUCUCUCUGCAUUCUCUCUCUCUCUCCAUCUCUCUCUCUGCAUUCUUUCUCUCUCCAUCUUCUAUCUCUGCCAUCUCUCUCUCUUCUGCCAUCUCUCUCUCUCUGCACAUCUCUCUCUGCUUUGCCUCAUCCCUUUCUCUCUGCCAUCUCACUCUCUCUGCCAUCUGUCUCUCUCUGCCAUCUCAUCUCUCUCUGCAUUCUCUUUCUCUCUGCCAUCUCUUUCUCUCUGCCAUCUCUCUCUCUCUCUCUGCCACUCUUCUCUGCCCUCUCUCUGCCACCUUGCUCCACUUCUCUCUGCCAUCUCACUCUCUCUGCAUCUCUUUCUCUCUGCCAUCUGUCUCUCUCUGCCAUCUCUCUCUGCCAUCUCUCUCUUUGCUCUCUCUCUCUUGACAUCCACUAUCUCUCUGCCAUCUCUUUCUCUGCCAUCUCUCUCGUCUCUGCCAUCUUCCUCCUGCCCUCUCUCUCUUGCCAUCUCUUCUCUCUGCCAUCUCACUCUCUCUGCCAUCUGUCUCUCUCUCUGCCAUCUCACCUCUCUGCUCAUUCUCUUCUGCCAUCUCUUCUCGCUCCAUCUCUUCUCUCUGCUCUCUGCUCAUCUCUGGUCUUCUGCCAUCUCCUCUCUCUGCCAUCUCUUUCUCUCUGCCAUCCUUUCUCUCUGCCAUCUCUCUCUCUUGCCAUCUCUCUCUCUCUGCCAUCUUCUCUCUCUGCCAUCUCUCUCUCUCUGCACUCACUUCUCUCUGCCAUCUCUCUCUCUGCCAUCUCUUCUUCUCUGCCAUCUCUUUCUCCUCAUCUCUCUCUCUCUGCCAUCUCUCUCUCUCUGCCACUCUCUCAUCUCUCUCUGCCAUCAUCUCUCUCUCUGCCCAUCUCACGUCUCUCUCUGCCAUCUCUUUCUCUCUGCCAUUCUCUCUCUCUCUGCCAUCUCUCUCUCUCUGCCAUCUCCCUCUUCUGCCAUCUCUUUAUCUCUCGCUAUCUCUCAUGCUCUGUCGUCUCUCCGUCUCUCUCUCUCUGCCAUCUCUCUCUUGCCAUCUCUAUUCUCUGCAUCUCUCUCCAUCUGCCAUCUCUCUCUCUCUGCCACUCUCUCUCUCUGCCAUACUCUCUCUCUCUCGCCAUCUCUCUCUCUCGCCCAUCUCCUCUCUGCCAAUCGCAUCUCCUCUCUCAUGCCAUCUCUCUGCCCAUUUCUAAAUGUUUCUACUUCAUAGUCUUCAGCACCACUCCAACAUUGUGGUGUUCUAUAUAAUGGAGGAGGAUGCUCGUUUUCCAAUGACAUCAUCGGU
rnacentral:lncRNA from 1 species